rnacentral:lncRNA from 1 species
GCAGUUGCAAGCGUUGGGGGACAGCUGGUGCGCCCCGAUUAAACCGAUUCAUUUUGCCCGGCGCGGCAGGGCACCGAAGGGCCUCUGGCUGGUGACUGGCACUCUGCGGGGCGCCCGGAACCAAUUUCCGGAGGGUGAUGGAUUUCUUCUCCUUGGCUGCUCUCAAGCUGCGCUUCCUUCUGUGGCGGGGAGCAAAGCACUUUCAGAAGAGCCCGUCUCCUGGGACUGACCCCCGGGGAGGGGGCUUCGGAAGGAAACAUCCGGGCCAGGCCCACCUGUGAGUGACGGCAGGUGGAAGAAAUGAACACAUCCCUCCCCUCCGGACCCCGCCGGCCGGAACCAGGGGAUGUUGGACGUGGCUCCCUCCCCUCUUAAUAUAAAAGACGCCUGACCUCUAACGCAGAUCAAUUGGUCACGUCUCCCUCAGAGGCCUUCCUGGACCAGUUGGGCGGCGGGAGCAUCUUCUGACCUUGAGAAGCGGGCUGAGGGACUAGAGCCUGUCUGGGCUGAUCCCAGGAGAGGCGCAACAGCUGGCGCCUGACUGCCUGCACCUGCUGGGGGGUGGGGGCGGGUGGACGCUGGAGACGGAUCUGGGGACACUUAAUGGGGUAGAGAGCACUCCACAGCCUUUUAAGGGGAGGAGGUGACAGGGCUGAUGGAAGUGAUUUCCAAUCUGAACAAGGCCAGACGUGACCACCGUUUGGAGGUGGCAGCCCGCAAACCCAGCACGGAGGGUCCGAAGUGAACGCGAAUCCCCCUAAAACCAAGUCCCUCUGCGGAGUUUAUGAUUCCAACACCUGUUCCCCUCAACACGGAGGCGCAUCAAAGAAAAGGGGGCGUGGAAACCAAGCAGGACCAAGCCUUUCUGUGUCCCCCGUUCCUGGAUUGCGGGGACAAGGCUUCAGCCUCCAAGACCUUCCCUGAGUUCCAAAGAGCAGAUUCAAACCAUUAGUAAUUAGGCCAGGAAGGGGAUGCUGAAGCGAUGGAGGAGCCCCCAAGAAACAAUAAAGCAGCAUUAAAGCA